AUUGAACGCUGGCGGCAGGCCUAACACAUGCAAGUCGAACGGUAGCAGGAAGCAGCUUGCUGCUUCGCUGACGAGUGGCGGACGGGUGAGUAAUGUCUGGGAAGCUGCCUGAUGGAGGGGGAUAACUACUGGAAACGGUAGCUAAUACCGCAUAAUGUCGCAAGACCAAAGAGGGGGACCUUCGGGCCUCUUGCCAUCGGAUGUGCCCAGAUGGGAUUAGCUUGUUGGUGGGGUAACGGCUCACCAACGCGACGAUCCCUAGCUGGUCUGAGAGGAUGACCAGCCACACUGGAACUGAGACACGGUCCAGACUCCUACGGGAGGCAGCAGUGGGGAAUAUUGCACAAUGGGCGCAAGCCUGAUGCAGCCAUGCCGCGUGUAUGAAGAAGGCCUUCGGGU
rnacentral:rRNA from 1 species